CUUUACUGUAACCUGGAAUUGGGUUCGGGCUUUGCUUGCGCAGGAUAGGUGGGAGGCUAAGAGAAUACCCUUGUGGGGGUAUUGGAGCCACAGGUGAGAUACCACUCUAGUGAGGCUAGAAUUCUAACCGCUUGCCGUGACCCGGCAGCGGAACCGUAUCAGGUGGGCAGUUUGACUGGGGCGGUCGCCUCCUAAAAGGUAACGGAGGCGCGCAAAGGUUCUCUCAGGCUGGUUGGAAAUCAGCCGUAGAGUGUAAAAGCACAAGAGAGCCUGACUGUGAGACCCACAAGUCGAACAGGGACGAAAGUCGGCCUUAGUGAUCCGACGGCACUGAGUGGAAGGGCCGUCGCUAAACGGAUAAAAGUUA
rnacentral:rRNA from 1 species